rnacentral:rRNA from 1 species
GACGAACGCUGGCGGCGUGCCUAACACAUGCAAGUCGAGCGGAGAUUGCAGCAAUGUAAUUUUAGCGGCGGACGGGUGAGUAACGCGUGGGCAACCUGCCUUUCACUGGGGGCUAACACAGGGAAACAUGUGCUAAUACCCCAUAACGCCACGGGAGGACAUCCUCCCGUGACCAAAGGAGGAAUCCGGUGGAGGAUGGCCCCGCGUAGAAUAAGCUAGUUGGAGGUGUAACGGACCACCAGGCGACGAUCGGUAGUCGAACUGAGAGGUUGAUCGGCCACAUUGGGACUGAGACACGGCCCAGACUCCUACGGGAGGCAGCAGUGGGGAAUAUUGCGCAAUGGGGGAAACCCUGACGCAGCAACGCCGCGUGAAGGAUGAAGGUUCUCGGAUCGUAAACUUCUUUGAUCGGGGACGAAUAAUGACGGUACCCGAAAAACAAGCCACGGCUAACUACGUGCCAGCCGCCGCAGUAA